GACGAACUUUGGCGGCGUGCUUAACACAUGCAAGUCGAACGGAAAGGCCCUGCUUUUGUGGGGUGCUCGAGUGGCGAACGGGUGAGUAACACGUGAGUAACCUGCCCUUGACUUUGGGAUAACUUCAGGAAACUGGGGCUAAUACCGGAUAGGAGCUCCUGCUGCAUGGUGGGGGUUGGAAAGUUUCGGCGGUUGGGGAUGGACUCGCGGCUUAUCAGCUUGUUGGUGGGGUAGUGGCUUACCAAGGCUUUGACGGGUAGCCGGCCUGAGAGGGUGACCGGCCACAUUGGGACUGAGAUACGGCCCAGACUCCUACGGGAGGCAGCAGUGGGGAAUAUUGCACAAUGGGCGGAAGCCUGAUGCAGCAACGCCGCGUGCGGGAUGACGGCCUUCGGGUUGUAAACCGCUUUCGCCUGUGACGAAGCGUGAGUGACGGUAAUGGGUAAAGAAGCACCGGCUAACUACGUGCCAGCAGCCGCGGUGAUACGUAGGGUGCGAGCGUUGUCCGGAUUUAUUGGGCGUAAAGGGCUCGUAGGUGGUUGAUCGCGUCGGAAGUGUAAUCUUGGGGCUUAACCCUGAGCGUGCUUUCGAUACGGGUUGACUUGAGGAAGGUAGGGGAGAAUGGAAUUCCUGGUGGAGCGGUGGAAUGCGCAGAUAUCAGGAGGAACACCAGUGGCGAAGGCGGUUCUCUGGGCCUUUCCUGACGCUGAGGAGCGAAAGCGUGGGGAGCGAACAGGCUUAGAUACCCUGGUAGUCCACGCUGUAAACGGUGGGUACUAGGUGUGGGGUCCAUUCCACGGGUUCCGUGCCGUAGCUAACGCUUUAAGUACCCCGCCUGGGGAGUACGGCCGCAAGGCUAAAACUCAAAGGAAUUGACGGGGCCCCGCACAAGCGGCGGAGCAUGCGGAUUAAUUCGAUGCAACGCGUAGAACCUUACCUGGGUUUGACAUGGAUCGGGAGUGCUCAGAGAUGGGUGUGCCUCUUUUGGGGUCGGUUCACAGGUGGUGCAUGCCUGUCGUCAGCUCGUGUCGUGAGAUGUUGGGUUAAGUCCCGCAACGAGCGCAACCCUUGUUCACUGUUGCCAGCACGUUAUGGUGGGGACUCAGUGGAGACCGCCGGGGUCAACUCGGAGGAAGGUGGGGAUGACGUCAAGUCAUCAUGCCCCUUAUGUCCAGGGCUUCACGCAUGCUACAAUGGCUGGUACAGAGAGUGGCGAGCCUGUGAGGGUGAGCGAAUCUCGGAAAGCCGGUCUCAGUUCGGAUUGGGGUCUGCAACUCGACCUCAUGAAGUCGGAGUCGCUAGUAAUCGCAGAUCAGCAACGCUGCGGUGAAUACGUUCCCGGGGC
rnacentral:rRNA from 1 species